rnacentral:misc_RNA from 1 species
GAUGAAGAACGUAGCGAAAUGCGAUACGUAAUGUGAAUUGCAGAAUUAAGUGAAUCAUCGAAUCUUUGAACGCAUAUUGCGCUCUCUGGUAUUCCGGAGAGCAUGCUUGUUUGAGUAUCAGUAAACACCUCAACUUCCAUAUCUUUUUUGAAAUGGGAGUUGGACUUGAGUGAUCCCAACGCUUUUCCUCACCGAAAAGUGGCGGGUUACUUGAAAUGCAGGUGCAGCUGGACUUUUCUCUGAGCUAUAAGCAUAUCUAUUUAGUCUGCCUAAAAAACAGAUUAUUACCUUUGCUGCAGCUAACAUAAAGGAGAUUAGUUCUUGUGCUGACUGAUGCAGGAUUCACAAAGACGGCUUCGGCCGACUUUGUAAACUCGAUCUCAAAUCAAGUAAGACUACCCGCUGAACUUAAGUAUAUCAAUAAGCGGAGGA